rnacentral:rRNA from 1 species
GACGAACGCUGGCGGCGUGCUUAACACAUGCAAGUCGAACGGAAAGGCCCUGCUUUUGUGGGGUGCUCGAGUGGCGAACGGGUGAGUAACACGUGAGUAACCUGCCCUUUACUUUUGGAUAACUUCAGGAAACUGGGGCUAAUACCGGAUAGGAGCUCCUGCUGCAUGGUGGUGGUUGGAAAGUUUCGGCGGUUGGGGAUGGACUCGCGGCUUAUCAGCUUGUUGGUGGGGUAGUGGCUUACCAAGGCUUUGACGGGUAGCCGGCCUGAGAGGGUGACCGGCCACAUUGGGACUGGGAUAGGGCCCAGCCUCGUAGGGGAGGCAGCAGUGGGGAAAAUUGCACAAUGGGCGGAGGCCUGAUGCAGCAACGCCGCGUGCGGGAUGACGGCCUUCGGGUUGUAAACCGCUUUAGCAUGUGACGAAGCGUGAGUGACGGUAAUGGGUAAAGAAGCACCGGCUAACUACGUG